rnacentral:rRNA from 1 species
UACAGAGGUCUCAAGCGUUGUUCGGAUUCAUUGGGCGUAAAGGGUGCGUAGGCGGCGCCGUAAGUCAGGUGUGAAAUUUCGGAGCUUAACUCCGAAACUGCAUUUGAUACUGCGGUGCUUUGAGGACUGGAGAGGAGACUGGAAUUUACGGUGUAGCAGUGAAAUGCGUAGAGAUCGUAAGGAAGACCAGUGGCGAAGGCGGGUCUCUGGACAGUUCCUGACACUGAGACACGAAGGCCAGGGGAGCAAACGGG